rnacentral:lncRNA from 1 species
AGGCUUUCCUUCACUGGUACACUGGUGAAGGGAUGGAUGAAAUGGAGUUCACUGAAGCUGAGAGCAAUAUGAAUGACCUCGUGUCUGAGUACCAGCAGUACCAGGAUGCCACCGCCGAUGAGGAAGGCGAGUAUGAAGAUGAGGAAGAGGGAGAAUUGGAGCAUCAUAUUUGAAGAAGUUGUGUAUGAUGCAUAUUUGUCUGUGUAGCUGGUUUUGUCAACCUUGCUUGGGAUUGCAAAAAAUGAUCUAUGAUGUGUUAUAGUUUUUCUUUCUCGAGUUUUUUACAUCAAGUAGCAGUAAAGUGAGUGAUGGAUGAUGGGAUCGAUGAGGAUCGACUAUUGAGGAUGGAGAAAUUAAAGGAUGGAUGCAUGUUUUGAAAGUAGUAGUGUGUGCUACCUUUACCUUGCUAUCUAUUCUGGAUUUGAUCUAUUUUUGU